AUGGCGAACAAGGACCUCACCUUCCCACAGGUGGUCUUCAACCCCUCGACUCCGACCUACCGCCGGCACACUAUCGCCUGGACUUCCACCUCGAACCCGCUGCUGCCCUUGGACGACGAGCCGCCGCUUCUCGAUGAGCUGGACACCCCGACCGAAUCUCUACCUCGCCGAGGCGGAACCGUCGCCGCCGCCGCACCAGCCAUGGUGAACAGAUACCUCCCCUUCUUCCAAGGGGUGGUACUCAACCCGUCCACGCCGACCCACCACCCUAUCCCCGGGAACGGGAACGUCGCCGCCAACUUGGACGACGAGCCGCCGCUUCUGGAGGAGCUCGACAUCGACACGGGUCUCAUCUGGCGGAAGGCGGUCUCCAUCCUCCACCCCCUCCGCUCCGUGGACCCGUCCCUCCACGCGGACGCCGACCUCUCCGGCCCCGUGCUGAUCCUACUAUCCUUGGCCCUCUUCCAGCUCAUGGCCGGGAAGCUCCACUUCGGGAUCGUCCUCGGCUGGGCCACCGCCGCGUCCUUCUUCCUCUACUUCAUCUCCUCCAUGCUGCUCUCGCCGGGACGAGGAGGCCGUGGCGACUUCAGCCUCUACAGGUGCGCCAGCCUGCUAGGCUACUGCAUGCUCUCCAUGACCAUCUUCUCGGCGGUGUCUCUGUUCCUGCCGCGGGGCGGCGGGCUCAUCUUCGCGGUGGGCAUGGGGUUCGUGCUGUGGUCCACCAGGGUCUGCAGCAGGCUGCUGGUAGCUUCCGGCGGCCAUGGCGAUGAGCAUCGGGGGCUCAUUGCCUACCCGUGCUUCCUCGUCUUCAUGCUCUUCUCCCUGCUUGUCAUCUUUUGA
rnacentral:rRNA from 1 species